rnacentral:piRNA from 1 species
UGACAGCAAAGACGCGAAAGGCAAGGAGAA